ACGAACGCUGGCGGCGUGCUUAACACAUGCAAGUCGAACGCUGAAGCUCAGCUUUUGUUGGGUGGAUGAGUGGCGAACGGGUGAGUAACACGUGAGUAACCUGCCCCCUUCUUUGGGAUAACGCCCGGAAACGGGUGCUAAUACUGGAUAUUCACUGGUCUUCGCAUGGGGGUUGGUGGAAAGGGUUUUUCUGGUGGGGGAUGGGCUCGCGGCCUAUCAGCUUGUUGGUGGGGUGAUGGCCUACCAAGGCUUUGACGGGUAGCCGGCCUGAGAGGGUGACCGGUCACAUUGGGACUGAGAUACGGCCCAGACUCCUACGGGAGGCGGCAGUGGGGAAUAUUGCACAAUGGGCGCAAGCCUGAUGCAGCGACGCCGCGUGAGGGAUGGAGGCCUUCGGGUUGUGAACCUCUUUCGCUCAUGGUCAAGCCGCAACAAUGGUUGUGGUGAGGGUAGUGGGUAAAGAAGCGCCGGCUAACUACGUG
rnacentral:rRNA from 1 species